AUUGAACGCUGGCGGCAUGCCUUACACAUGCAAGUCGAACGGUAACAGGUCUUCGGAUGCUGACGAGUGGCGAACGGGUGAGUAAUACAUCGGAACGUGCCCGAUCGUGGGGGAUAACGGAGCGAAAGCUUUGCUAAUACCGCAUACGAUCUACGGAUGAAAGCAGGGGACCGCAAGGCCUUGCGCGGACGGAGCGGCCGAUGGCAGAUUAGGUAGUUGGUGGGAUAAAAGCUUACCAAGCCGACGAUCUGUAGCUGGUCUGAGAGGACGAACAGCCACACGGGGACUGAGACACGGCCCAGACUCCUACGGGAGGCAGCAGUGGGGAAUUUUGGACAAUGGGCGAAAGCCUGAUCCAGCCAUGCCGCGUGCAGGAUGAAGGCCUUCGGGUUGUAAACUGCUUUUGUACGGAACGAAAAGGCUCUGGUUAAUACCUGGGGCUCAUGACGGUACCGUAAGAAUAAGCACCGGCUAACUACGUGCCAGCCGCCGCCGUAAGAC
rnacentral:rRNA from 1 species